rnacentral:rRNA from 1 species
AGUCGAACGCGAAAGUUCCCUUCGGGGAGCGAGUAGAGUGGCGCACGGGUGAGUAACACGUAGGUAAUCUACCUUUGGAUGGGGAAUAACAACCGGAAACGGUUGCUAAUACCGCAUAAUGCAGCGGCACCUAAUGGUGACAGUUGUUAAAGCGGGGGAUCGUAAGACCUCGCGUCUGAAGAGGAGCCUGCGGCAGAUUAGCUAGUUGGUAAGGUAACGGCUUACCAAGGCGAUGAUCUGUAGCCGGCCUGAGAGGGCGGUCGGCCACACUGACACUGACAUACGGGUCAGACUCCUACGGGAGGCAGCAGUCGGGAAUUUUGGGCAAUGGGCGAAAGCCUGACCCAGCAACGUCGCGUGAAGGAUGAAAUCCUUCGGGAUGUAAACUUCGCAAGAACAGGAAGAAUAAGCCGGUGUAAACACCAUCGGUGAUGACGGUACUGUUUGUAAGCUCCGGCUAACUCCGUGCCAGCAGCCGCGGUAAUACGGGGGGAGCAAGCGUUGUUCGGAUUUACUGGGCGUAAAGGGCGCGUAGGCGGCCUCUGCAAGUCGACUGUGAAAUCUCCGGGCUUAACCCGGAAAGGUCAGCCGAUACUGCAGGGCUAGAGUGCAGAAGGGGCAACUGGAAUUCUCGGUGUAGCGGUGAAAUGCGUAGAUAUCGAGAGGAACACCUGCGGCGAAGGCGGGUUGCUGGGCUGACACUGACGCUGAAGCGCGAAAGCUAGGGGAGCGAACGGGAUUAGAUACCCCGGUAGUCCUAGCCUUAAACGAUGAAUGCUUGGUGUCUGGGGUUUUAUAGUCCCCGGGUGCCGUCGCUAACGCUUUAAGCAUUCCGCCUGGGGAGUACGGUCGCAAGACUGAAACUCAAAGGAAUUGACGGGGACCCGCACAAGCGGUGGAGCAUGUG